GGGGCCGACCUGGUUUCGACGUUGGUGCGGAUUCGGGACAGGGCAUGUCGAGCACCAGUCAGCUCGUAAAUCCACUGGAAAAAAACCAACUGCAAACGAUCAAAAGUUCGCACUCGCCGCUUAAUACCGGUGAGCCUCUCAACAGUCGGCCCAUGGGCUGGGUCUGAGCCGCAAGGCAAGGACUGAGAGGUCAUUUUCAUGGGCUGGGCUUCACCUGGGUCACUCAGAUGAAGUCGAGAUCAAGUGACUGGCUGACCUGGUAGCGUGCUGCUGCGCGAUCAGGUUGGCGAGAUCCAAAUCAGACAGCUAAACAUGUAGAUCUGCUCGUUGAUGGCUGACGGACGGGGGUUCAAUUCCCCCCGGCUCCACCA
rfam:Burkholderiales bacterium RIFCSPHIGHO2_01_FTLL_63_240 rifcsphigho2_01_scaffold_27, whole genome shotgun sequence.